UACAGGCAGAAUCUUAAAGGGACCAUGGGCAUAUGGGAACAGCAGUUUUAAUAACGGUAAUGACAUUGUUAGCAGAAAACAUAAUCCACAUUCAUGGGAUAUAAACCAGGUCCUGAAGGUAAAAGAGUUAUUUGCAGGAGGGUGAAGGGAAGAAUUAAGUGUUGAAGCAUAGAGCACAAUCAGGUUAUGACUGGAAAGGCAAACUGAUCUCAGUGCCUGAGAUAAAAAUACAUGACAUUGCUCCAGCUUGCUCCUAGCCGAUUGCUGGCAACCAGCACUGUGGGAAGAUACAUGGUCAAAAUAAGUCUGGUAAUUUAAUCUUUGAGCACAUUAUCCCCUUCUUGCUGACGUGUCUGUGUACAGCACAGUGUGUAUCUCAUCUCAGCAUCUUUGGGGUUUCUGCUGGGGAAGCUUCUCUGGGAUAACAAUGUUGAAAUGUCUCCCAUGCACCCCAGCUGAAGAGACGCGCUUCCGACUGUUACUGCUGGCACUUAUUAGAGUCUUAUUGAGCAACAGCAGCUCAUGUCUUGCGAGAAACAAUUGCUUGAUCCGCCUCCUCAGUGCAUUUCACAGUGCCAGCAUUUAAGGGUGCAGGCUGAGGGUGGUGAUGGAGGCUCGUGCCGCUGCAGCUCCAUCUUCCUUAAAAUCCCUGGAAAAUUCUGCAGACUCUCUCUCCGGUUUGAUUUUGAAGGAAGGUGUUCUCCUGUCAGUGACAUGCAUCACCAGAAAAUCAGGUGUUUUCUCCGGGUCUCAGCCUUCUGUAGCAGAGACUGAUAGUCUGCUAGGAUCCCCUGGAGUUUUGAAAGUAUGGCUGGACUGCAAAGAACAAGAAUCAGAAGGAACAGAUGGGCCUCGUAUGACUGCAUGAGCCGCUGUCUCCUGUCUUGAGCCUCUGCUUUCAAUGUUUCUACAGAAGUCUCCAGUUUCUUCAUAUGCUCCGUAAUCUUGCGAGAGGCUGAGUGGCCUCCCCGUACCAGUUUCUGCCCUGUACUCAGCACUGCCUUGGUUAAAGCAUCCCG